AGCUAUGUUAUCAGAUCUAAAUGCGCAUAAGUAAAUCUGAAAGAAAAAAGUAAAUUGAAAAUGAAGACUUAAAAUUAAACCGAAUAGGUAGUUGUUGGCUUAAAUGCUUUAAAACAUACAAUGGAAAGUAAAUUGUAUUAUCUCUUUUUUGGCUGUCACAUACAGAGAAGAAAUAUUUUUGAGAAUCAGGCUGCAACAGGGUCGAAACUGAGGGAACAAAGUAAAAAAGGUGCAAAUUGGAAAAGUUAAGCACAAAUUUAGAACAUUUAGGAAUGUUUAAAAGAAGGUGACAUUCUUACAGACAAUUGGGAAAUUUGAAAAACUUCUGGAUAAAGCUCAUCUAAAUCAGUCAUUUUCAAACUGAAAAAAACAACAAUAUACACAAUAACUUCUGUAGUGUGAUUUUUACAAAGCUUAUAAU